CUACGGGCUGCUCCAGUGAGGAAUAUUGCACAAUGGAGGAAACUCUGAUGCAGCAACGCCGCGUGGAGGAUGACGCAUUUCGGUGUGUAAACUCCUUUUAUGAGUCAAGAAAAUGACGGUAGCUCAUGAAUAAGCACCGGCUAACUCCGUGCCAGCAGCCGCGGUAAUACGGAGGGUGCAAGCGUUACUCGGAAUCACUGGGCGUAAAGGACGCGUAGGCGGGAUAUCAAGUCAGGUGUGAAAUCCUACAGCUUAACUGUAGAACUGCACUUGAAACUGGUAACCUAGAGUAUGGGAGGGGGAGAUGGAAUUAGUGGUGUAGGGGUAAAAUCCGUAGAUAUCACUAGGAAUACCUAAAGCGAAGGCGAUCUCCUGGAACAUAACUGACGCUAAGGCGUGAAAGCGUGGGGAGCAAACAGGAUUAGAUACCCGCGUAGUC
rnacentral:rRNA from 1 species